GACGAACGCUGGCAGCGUGCUUAACACAUGCAAGUCGAACGAUGAACCCGGAGCUUGCUCCGGUGGAUUAGUGGCGAACGGGUGAGUAACACGUGAGUAACCCGCCCUUGACUCUGGGAUAACUGCGGGAAACUGUAGCUAAUACCGGAUACGACCCUCGGCGGCAUCGCCAGGGGGUGGAAAGAAUUUCGGUCAAGGAUGGACUCGCGGCCUAUCAGCUAGUUGGUGAGGUAACGGCUCACCAAGGCGACGACUGGUAGCCGGCCUGGGAGGGGGAACGGGCACACUGGGAAUGAGAUACGGCCCAGACUCCUACGGGAGGCAGCAGUGGGGAAUAUUGAACAAUGGGCGAAAGCCUGAGUCAGCACCGCCGCGUGAGGGAUGACGGCCUUCGGGUUGUAAACCUCUUUUAGUAGGGAAGAAGCGAAAGUGACGGUACCUGCAGAAAAAGCACCGGCUAACUACGUGCCAGCCGCCGCGGUAA
rnacentral:rRNA from 1 species